rnacentral:rRNA from 1 species
AUACGUAGGUGGCGAGCGUUGUCCGGAAUUAUUGGGCGUAAAGAGCAUGUAGGCGGCUUAAUAAGUCGAGCGUGAAAAUGCGGGGCUCAACCCCGUAUGGCGCUGGAAACUGUUAGGCUUGAGUGCAGGAGAGGAAAGGGGAAUUCCCAGUGUAGCGGUGAAAUGCGUAGAUAUUGGGAGGAACACCAGUGGCGAAGGCGCCUUUCUGGACUGUGUCUGACGCUGAGAUGCGAAAGCCAGGGUAGCGAACGGGAUUAGAUACCCCGGUAGUCCUGGCCGUAAACGAUGGGUACUAGGUGUAGGAGGUAUCGACCCCUUCUGUGCCGGAGUUAACGCAAUAAGCACUCCGCCUGGGGAGUACGGCCGCAAGGCUGAAACUCAAAUGAAUUGACGGGG